AUUGAACGCUGGCGGCAUGCCUUACACAUGCAAGUCGAACGGCAGCACGGACUUCGGUCUGGUGGCGAGUGGCGAACGGGUGAGUAAUGUAUCGGAACGUACCUUUCAGUGGGGGAUAACGUAGCGAAAGUUACGCUAAUACCGCAUAUUCUGUGAGCAGGAAAGCAGGGGAUCGAAAGACCUUGCGCUGAUUGAGCGGCCGAUAUCAGAUUAGCUAGUUGGUGGGGUAAAGGCCUACCAAGGCGACGAUCUGUAGCGGGUCUGAGAGGAUGAUCCGCCACACUGGAACUGAGACACGGUCCAGACUCCUACGGGAGGCAGCAGUGGGGAAUUUUGGACAAUGGGGGCAACCCUGAUCCAGCCAUGCCGCGUGAGUGAAGAAGGCCUUCGGGUUGUAAAGCUCUUUCGGCCGGGAAGAAAUCGCAUGGGCUAAUACCCUGUGUGGAUGACGGUACCGGAAUAAGAAGCACCGGCUAACUACGUG
rnacentral:rRNA from 1 species